CAGAUCAAACCCGGCCCAGGGGUUGAGAUUUCUCUGGAUGGGCAGACGGGAGCCAGGAAGCUUCAUAAGGAUGGGCAGGGCACGAGCAGGUGCCGUGAACCAGUCACAGCCCGAGACCCAGACAGGUCCACGUGUGCAUGCGCAGAGUCUGUGCUGGCAUCUAUUCUGAUUGGCCCGUUUGCGGCAGCCUGGAUCCUGAUUGGCCGAGAACCAGCCUCUGUGUUGCGUGGACCUCCGACCCCACCCCAGAUCCCAGAUCCCAGAUCCGAGACCGCAAUGGGCCUCGCAGGCUGCAGCAGAGGGCAGCUCGGUAGCACCCCUCGGACCUAUCCGGACCCCUGGGCACAUGGAAGAGCAGGAACCCUGACAUGACACCCAAGAGAAGGCAAGGGAUGCCUGGGAAAAUUGCCACAUUUUCCACCAUCGCAGCGAAAUGGAGCUUGGAAUGGAAAAUAAAGGACUCCUCUGGCUCAAGGACUCCGACAGGAUCGAUGGGAACCGUCCCCAGUAUGGUCUUCAAAGCACGAGCUCAUUCCGCCUGCGACGCUGGCCACCCCGCCCCGCCCCUCACCACCAGAGUCAGCCCCAAAGGAACCCUCCACAGAUCAAGAUCUUUGUAUUAUAAACUGACUUUUAAUAAUAAUAAAAAAAUCUAUCAUGACUUUAAUGAGAAGAUCUGUACAUUUUAAAGUAAACCAGUGCACAACGCCCUUGCCCUCAGGGGCCCCUCUCCAUUUCCCACCAGGGGGCUAAAGCGGGUCUUCAUUUGUGUCCCUGCCACCUGGGUCCAGCCACAAGCCCACGUCUUGCCAUCUCGGCCACAGUGGCAAGUGAUGGAGGGUGGUCCCUGGAGGCCCAGGGGGCCAAGAUGCUGGUGGGGCUUCAAGUCUCAGGGGCAGUGGGCAACCCAGACCUGAUCUCACCCACCACACAAGGGUGGAGAAUAGAUACCCCUCCCUUCUACCUCGGCUGGGGAGGGGACAAACUGCUGAGGAGGUCCCAGUGUGGGUCCCUGUGCCCAGGAGGCGGGCAGGGUGACUUCCUGUCUCUCUGGCUGGCUGAGAAAUCCCAAGUGCCCUGCUCUGAGCUAACAUCAAAAAAUAAUAAUAAUAAUAAGUUACAGAAGCCACCACCCAGCGUUUCCCAGGGGCCCUCCUACCUGCAGGACAGACACCUGUGCGGGACAGCAUCUCAAGUGGGCGCUUCAACCCCCUCCCACCCCCAGCCCUGGUCCACCUGCCUCUCAAACCCUCACAGCCAGGCCGAAAGGGAGCAGGGUAAUUCAAGCUAAUAUUGACCGGCUGCUGGAGAACUGAGGCGGGGGGGAAGGGAUCCUAGCCAACACCUGUGAGUGAUACCUUAAGACCCUAAUAUUAAAAAAGAUGAAAUACUGACAUUUGUUGGAUUUUCAAUAAUUUAGUUUUCUCUUUUAGUAGAAGUGGGAAAAGUCAUCAACACUACCUUAUGUUGGUCCCCUGUUAGACAAUAUACCUUUCUUUGAGAUUUAAAAUGUCAAAUAUAUAAUUACACAACCCAGAAAAAAAAAAAAAUCUCGACGACACCAACAACAUAAAAACCCCAAAACAAAC